GGUUCCCUGGAGUGAUCAGUGCCAUAGAUUGCACCCAUAUUCCCAUCACAGCACGUCUAGAUGACUUGUGACCAUCGUUGCAUGGUCGCCAGCACUGAGGCAAAGUAGCCUGAGUCAGUCCUUGACUCCCAGAUCUUUAGGGAUUCUGCACUGUGCCACAGAUUUGAGCAAAGGGCUUUUCAGGGGAUUGCUGCUAGGAGACAGAGCCAACCCUUUUUGAAUACCGCCUAUCCUGACCCAAAUGCAGGGCCACAAAAUAAAUUCAACAACCAAAACAAGGGUCAGGAUAGAAAUUACUUGUGGAAUACUGAAAGCCCACUUCAGCUGCCUACGUGGGCUCAGAGGGGCCCCAGACCGGGCUUGCCAAAUAGUCACAGUAUGUGUUGUGCUUCACAAUAUAGCAUCCAUACAUACAUCCAUCCUGUCAGCCAACAACCCCCUGAUCUUGUGGACCCCAUCGCCCUACACCACCCUACUGGCAGGGCAGUGGUGGAGGCUAUCACACAGCAAUUUUUUACCUAAUUAAGAAAAACUAAGAAAAUGCCUCUUUUUUUUCCUCAUUUAUAAGUCUUUAUUUUUCCAAUUAUUUUUGUUCUCCCAUUCCUAGGAACGAAGACAAAUACAAUUUAGUUUAAUUGUAACCCAUGGCUGGAAAUAAAUUACAUUA